AAAUUCCUCACAUUCUGUUUAGA
rnacentral:piRNA from 1 species